rnacentral:rRNA from 1 species
AGUUUGAUCCUGGCUCAGGAUAAACGCUGGCGGCGCACAUAAGACAUGCAAGUCGAACGGAAGUCGUUACUAAAUGGAUUGACGAUUUAUCASAAAGAAGUUUAGUAACAAUGGCUUUAGUGGCGGACUGGUGAGUAACGCGUAAGGAAUCUGCCCAUUAGAGGGGAAUAACAAUGAGAAAUCAUUGCUAAUACCGCAUAUGCCAUAAUUAUCGCAUGAUAAUAGUGGGAAAGGAGAAAUCCGCUGAUGGAUGAUCUUGCGUCUGAUUAGUUAGUUGGUGGGGUAAAGGCCUACCAAGACGACGAUCAGUAGCCGGACUGAGAGGUUGAACGGCCACAUUGGGACUGAGAUACGGCCCAGACUCCUACGGGAGGCAGCAGUCGGGAAUAUUGCGCAAUGGAGGGAACUCUGACGCAGUGACGCCGCGUAUAGGAAGAAGGUUUUCGGAUUGUAAACUAUUGUCGUUAGGGAAGAAGAAGUGACAGUACCUAAGGAGGAAGCUCCGGCUAACUACGUGCCAGCAGCCGCGGUAAUACGUAGGGAGCGAGCGUUAUCCGGAUUUAUUGGGUGUAAAGGGUGCGUAGACGGGUGAUUAAGUUAGCUGUGAAAUCCCUCGGCUUAACUGAGGAACUGCAACUAAAACUGGUCAUCUUGAGUGCAGGAGAGGUAAGUGGAAUUCCUAGUGUAGCGGUGAAAUGCGUAGAUAUUAGGAGGAACACCAGUGGCGAAGGCGACUUACUGGACUGUAACUGACGUUGAGGCACGAAAGUGUGGGGAGCAAACAGGAUUAGAUACCCUGGUAGUCCACACCGUAAACGAUGGAUACUAGGUGUAGGGGAUAUUAAGUCUUCUGUGCCGUCGCAAACGCAAUAAGUAUCCCACCUGGGGAGUACGGCCGCAAGGUUGAAACUCAAAGGAAUUGACGGGGGCCCGCACAAGCAGUGGAGUAUGUGGUUUAAUUCGAAGCAACGCGAAGAACCUUACCAGGGCUUGACAUAUACAGGAAUAUAUUAGAGAUAGUAUAGCUCUUCGGAGUCUGUAUACAGGUGGUGCAUGGUUGUCGUCAGCUCGUGUCGUGAGAUGUUGGGUUAAGUCCCGCAACGAGCGCAACCCCUGUCUUUAGUUGCCAGCACGUAAAGGUGGGAACUCUAAAGAGACUGCCGUAGACAAUACGGAGGAAGGUGGGGAUGACGUCAAAUCAUCAUGCCCUUUAUGUCCUGGGCUACACACGUACUACAAUGGCUGUUACAGAGGGAGGCAACACAGCGAUGUGAAGCGGAACCCAAAAAGCAGUCUCAGUUCGGAUUGAAGGCUGAAAUUCGCCUUCAUGAAGCCGGAAUUGCUAGUAAUGGCAGGUCAGCAUACUGCCGUGAAUACGUUCCCGGGCCUUGUACACACCGCCCGUCACACCAUGAGAGUUGGGAAUACCCGAAGCCUGUGAGCCAACUUUUCAAGAGGCAGCAGUCGAAGGUAGAAUCAAUGAUUGGGGUGAAGUCGUAACAAGGUAACCGUA